rnacentral:rRNA from 1 species
UACGUAGGGGGCAAGCGUUGUCCGGAAUCAUUGGGCGUAAAGAGCGUGUAGGCGGCUCGGUAAGUCCGUUCUGAAAGUCCAGGGCUCAACCCUGGGAUGCGGAUGGAUACUGCCGGGCUCGAGUCCGGAAGAGGCGAGUGGAAUUCCCGGUGUAGCGGUGAAAUGCGCAGAUAUCAGGAGGAACACCAAUGGCGAAGGCAGCUCGCUGGGACGGUACUGACGCUGAGGCACGAAAGCGUGGGUAGCAAACAGG